UGCAAGUCGAGCGAGGUUAUUUGAGAAGUUUACUUAUCAAAUAACUUAGCGGCGAACGGGUGAGUAACACGUGAAUAAUCUACCUUGAAGAGUGGGAUAGCCCUUGGAAACGAGGAUUAAUACCGCAUGUGGUCGAGAGACUAAAGCAGCAAUGCGCUUCGAGAUGAGUUCGCGCCCUAUUAGCUAGUUGGUAGAGUAAGAGCCUACCAAGGCAAUGAUAGGUAGCCGGUCUGAGAGGAUGUCCGGCCACACUGGAACUGAGACACGGUCCAGACACCUACGGGUGGCAGCAGUCGAGAAUCAUUCACAAUGGGGGAAACCCUGAUGGUGCGACGCCGCGUGGGGGAAGAAGGUCUUCGGAUUGUAAACCCCUGUCAUGUGGGAGCAAGACUCGUGAGAGUUUGAUAGUACCACAAGAGGAAGAGACGGCUAACUCUGUGCCAGCAGCCGCGGUAAUACAGAGGUCUCAAGCGUUAUUCGGAAUCACUGGGCGUAAAGAGUACGUAGGCGGUAAAGUAAGUCUGAUGUGAAAUGUACGGGCUCAACCUGUAGACUGCAUUGGAUACUGCGUUACUAGAGCAAUGGAGGGGAAACCGGAAUUCUCGGUGUAGCAGUGAAAUGCGUAGAUAUCGAGAGGAAGACUCGUGGCGAAGGCGGGUUUCUGGACAUUUGCUGACGCUGAGGUACGAAGGCUAGGGUAGCGAAAGGGAUUAGAUACCCCUGUAGUCCUAGCAGUAAACGGUGCACGCUUGGUGUGUGAGGAAUCGACCCCUUACGUGCCGGAGCUAACGCGUUAAGCGUGCCGCCUGGGGAGUACGGUCGCAAGACUAAAACUCAAAGAAAUUGACGGGGACCCGCACAAGCGGUGGAGUAUGUGGCUUAAUUCGAUGCAACGCGAAGAACCUUACCUAGGCUUGACAUAUAAUGAAAAGCAUGUGAAAGCAUGUGACUCUACGGAGGCGUUAUACAGGUGCUGCAUGGCCGUCGUCAGCUCGUGUCGUGAGAUGUUUGGUUAAGUCCAGCAACGAGCGCAACCCCUGCGACUAGUUACCAGCAAGUAAAGUUGGGGACUCUAGUAGGACUGCCCAGAUCAACUGGGAGGAAGGUGGGGACGACGUCAGGUCAGUAUGGCCCUUAUGCCUAGGGCUGCACACGUACUACAAUGGGUAGAACAGAGGGAACCAAGACCGCGAGGUGGAGGAAAUCCCUGAAAACUAUCCUCAGUUCGGAUUGUAGGCUGCAACUCGCCUACAUGAAGCCGGAAUCGCUAGUAAUGGCGCAUCAGCAGUUGGUGCCGUGAAUACGUUCCCGGGUCUUGUACACACCGCCCGUCACAUCAUGGAAGCCGGUCGCACCCGAAGCGUCUAAAGCCAACCGUAAGGAGGCAGGAUCGAAG
rnacentral:rRNA from 1 species